rnacentral:rRNA from 1 species
GUGGGGAAUAUUGGACAAUGGGCGCAAGCCUGAUCCAGCCAUGCCGCGUGAGUGAUGAAGGCCUUAGGGUUGUAAAGCUCUUUCAGUAGGGAAGAUAAUGACGGUACCUACAGAAGAAGCCCCGGCUAACUUCGUGCCAGCAGCCGCGGUAAUACGAAGGGGGCUAGCGUUGUUCGGAUUUACUGGGCGUAAAGCGCACGUAGGCGGAUUGGUCAGUUAGAGGUGAAAUCCCGAAGCUCAACUUCGGAACUGCCUUUAAUACUGCCAGUCUCGAGUCCGGAAGAGGUGAGUGGAACUCCUAGUGUAGAGGUGGAAUUCGUAGAUAUUAGGAAGAACACCAGUGGCGAAGGCGGCUCACUGGUCCGGUACUGACGCUGAGGUGCGAAAGCGUGGGGAGGAAACAGGAUUAGAAACCCUAGUAGUCC